rnacentral:tRNA from 1 species
GCGGAAUUAGCUCAUAUGGUAGAGCGCCACCUUCCCAAGGUGGAUGUGGCGGGUUCGAGCCCCGUAUUCCGCU